UGUUAUCUGUUCUUAAAAAUAAAAUGUUUUAUUUGCCUUUAGUUUGCCCAGACCUGUGUUAUAAGCAAUGUCAGAACAACUGAUUGAACCUGAAGUGUUCCAUUCUGUCAAGCAGUGAUUCCAAAUAUAGUAUGACUGUAUUUUCUUGAGAUGACUGGCCUUCUCAUUUCUCUUCCUCAGGACAACCAAAAGGUGAGUCCUAGGAAACCUGUCUUUACACUUGGAGCAGAACGUCAAUAUUUCUAUCUCAUGGAAUUUAAUCUGAACUCAAGGAAGAAUUUGGCCCAGUGGAUUUCUAAUAUUCUUUUCUGAGAUGAGCAAUUUGGAGACAGUAUUUUUGUCACUUCUGGAAUAGCAUAUGUUCUAACCCACAAAAGAACAAAAACUGCUUUUCUAAUUUUGAAGGAGGGGGUGGAAGCAUGGAGAUGAUAUCCAGAGCAGGAUAUCACAGUUCUGCUGGUGGGUCCUGGCGUACCAGAGCAAAACCCAGGACCAAAGGUAGUGAUUUCUCUCUUGAGCUGUUGGUCAGAAAGGCAAACCCAAGUGAACUUUCAAGAACGAUCUUAAAAUCAGCAAUGUUACCAUGAAGGUACAACAGACGCACUGUGACUGGAUAUUUGCUUAUAACGGAUGCAGAACAUAAGAAAACUCUACAACAGCAGGCUGAAAUGCAGAGUUGAGUUGAUUGGCAAGCACACUGAGAGAAGAAAUCACAGGCUGUUCUUCAGGAAAAGAACAAUUAAUGCUUCCAUAUACUGACAUGAGUGUACUCUUUGCUUGUCCAUUCUGAC
rnacentral:lncRNA from 1 species